UUUCCGUAGGCGAACCUGCGGAAGGAUCAUUAUUGUAUAACCGAGGUGCGAGGGCUGUCGCUGACCCGAAAGGUCGUGCACGCCCGAGUGCCCUCACACACAUCCAUCUCACCCCUAAGUGCACCACCGCGUGGGUCCCCCUUUGGCUUGUUCGGAGGGGGGCUUACGUUUUCACACAAACUUUGUAUGCAGUGUAGAAUGUAUUUUUUGUUUUUGCGAUCACGCAAUCAAUACAACUUUCAACAACGGAUCUCUUGGCUCUC
rnacentral:misc_RNA from 1 species